UACGUAGGGGGCUAGCGUUGUCCGGAAUCAUUGGGCGUAAAGAGCGCGUAGGCGGCUGGAUAAGUCCGGUGUAAAAGUCAAAGGCUCAACCUUUGAAUGCCGCUGGAAACUAUCUGGCUAGAGUGCGGUAGGGGAGACUGGAAUUCCUGGUGUAGCGGUGAAAUGCGCAGAUAUCAGGAGGAACACCGGUGGCGAAGGCGGGUCUCUGGGCCGUAACUGACGCUGAGGAGCGAAAGCGUGGGGAGCGAACAGG
rnacentral:rRNA from 1 species